GUAAACCUGGAUAGUUUCAGGCUUGUUGAGACCAUUACUGUCAAAUAGAGCAGCUUUACAAAGCCAGAGAGAAGACUGGAGUUGUCACUCACUGAUGGGAUUCACGGAGAACAUCCAAAGCAAAGAAAAAGAUAUUCAAGGCUCAAAGAUGAACUGAAGAUAAUAAACUGAUCUGAGGGACAGAAGGCUUGCUGAUGAGGCAUCACAUCGUCACCUGCGCAGAUGGAUGGAAAUGACCUCAUUGGCUGUCAGCAGGUACUCCUUGCCCCCUCUGCUCACGCUCUCUAUGACAAUGCACUGGAACCUUAUUUUCAGGAGCUCUCGGGUGAUGAGGAUAACUAUAAAAAUGAGAAGGUAUCUGUCCCAGGAAAAUUGCUUCUGGUAGGAAUGAACUGGUCUGUCAGUAAGCUCCAGAGAGGAAAUGGAUACAACUGAGCACACAAUAUUAUUCAAAAUACGUGAGGCAGGAAGAAGCACUUUUUCCCUUCAUGUUUUAAACAGACAACAGCAUGUCUGCAUCUAUGUCUCGAAGUUAGGAGAAAAACUCCCAUGGAAGUGAGAGAAGGCAAAAGAUAAAAGAGGUGUACAGGGUAAAUAUGAGCAGAAUAUAUGAUGCGAAAAGAUUAAAGUAUCUUUACAGAAUCCAUCACCAUGUGCAGUCAGUGAAUGCUGAUAAAGAUAACAAGCUGAAGAUUGAAAAAUAUUCUCCAAAUUAACCUAUCAAUAAUUCAUUUAUGCAACAUCAAUUAUAUGCAAAUCAUGGGGAUAAGCAGAAAGCAAAAU
rnacentral:sRNA from 1 species